CCUACGGGAGGCAGCAGUGGGGAAGUAUUGGACAAUGGACGAAAGUCUGAUCCAGCAAUGCCGCGUGAGUGAUGAAGGCCUUAGGGUUGUAAAGCUCUUUUACCAGGGAUGAUAAUGACAGUACCUGGAGAAUAAGCUCCGGCUAACUCCGUGCCAGCAGCCGCGGUAAUACGGAGGGAGCUAGCGUUGUUCGGAAUUACUGGGCGUAAAGCGCACGUAGGCGGUUAUUCAAGUCAGAGGUGAAAGCCCGGGGCUCAACCCCGGAACUGCCUUUGAAACUAGAUAGCUAGAAUCCUGGAGAGGUGAGUGGAAUUCCGAGUGUAGAGGUGAAAUUCGUAGAUAUUCGGAAGAACACCAGUGGCGAAGGCGGCUC
rnacentral:rRNA from 1 species